ACAGCGCCGCGGACGCCAUCCUUGGGCAUCCCCGGAGCUACCGGUUCCGUGUCCGGGCCCAUGACGAGGCCCGGGGCCAGCCCGGGCGCGGGGCUUGGUGGAGGUGCUAGUGGAAUGAACCCCGGAGAGCCAGAGGAAAGCAACGCCCGAGGCCUUUCAACAGUCUGUAGGAGAGCGAAUGGUGGCCUGGAUUGGUAGGGUCCCGGGGACAUCGCAGUGACUCGGACCCGGUGCAGGCCAUGGCAGAAAAAUAGUCAAACUCUCCUGGCCUCAGAACCCAGAAGAGGGCUGAGGAAUGCGAAUCAACUCGACACAGUAAGUGGAUCCCUCUGGCAAGAGUCCACAACUUGCUAGAAUCCCCAGUCCCCGCAGGACGUCCCCACAGGCAGUGUCUGAAGCUCCCGGUCCCUUGCAGGGAAACACUCUCGACUGGCACGUAAAACUGACCUCCCUGAUGGAAAUGUUCCGUAGAAAUCAAUUCAGAGAACGCACACAACUUCACCUGGGACUCAAACAAUUCCUAAUAGGAUAGACCUGGGCAAGAAGAUCACGUCCAGUCCAUUUGAAGUCCUGCUUGAAGGCACAAUCCAACGCCAAAACUUCACUUUAGUCGGAGGUCCCUACAUGCCUGCCUAAAAUACCUUCGGCAACUAAGUUGUUUAUAAUGUUUUGCAAAUACAUUUGAAGCCCCAGUUUAUGGACGGCAGCCAGGAGUUUAAAAACAGAAGCUUCCUUUCCCAGCUUCUUUCGCCACGUAAAGAGCAUCCUGUGACGCUGCUCCAUCAAAUUGCCUGGAUUCUCGCAUUCGCAAGAGUCAAUGUCCGUCUCAUCCAGACCAAUUAGCCUCAUGAACAUCUUCCAGUCGUUUCCCAUGCUGCUCUUUACAAACUCAUAAUGGAUGGUCGCGGUAGCUGCAAGAGACAAAGCCAGAAAGGAAGACGGUUACUUUCCUGGGAUGACCACGUGGCACCUGCUGUCGCUGGGCCCCGGGAGUAAGGUCACGGGUGGCCCCACCGUCCCAUUGCCCCGGGGCCGGCCCCCCCCCCCGCCCCGGCCAGCGCACCACACCUAGGACAUGGGAGGUCUUGUACGACCCCAGGGGUCUCCCGGAAGUGAUCAGGCCCAGGGGCUGGGAGACGGCGGAGGCUGGGCCACCUCUGCCACAGCUCUUGCCCCGCAGGCGCCCUGCCUGCAGCUCGUUCCUCGAGCCCUUGAGCCCGAGCCCGAGCCCGGGAGGAGCCGAGGGUGGGGGCAAGCAGGAAGCUGUCGGAGAACGCAGUCUGCUGUAGUCCACCUGCCUUCUCUCCCUUGACCCCCAGAGAAAGGCUAUAAGACGGUCAGGACAGGAAGGCCUUCUGGUGUCAGCUGGGGACCAUGGUUAGGGUCUGAGGCCUGGGGCGACUUCUGUAGCCCGAGUUUCAGACUGUCAUGUUUUUAAACCCGUGUGCUGGGGCGAUCUUGCAGAACCGUUAGUGGAGGGGAUACAAAAGCACCCGACGUGCAGCAUGUCUCCUAGCCGGGGGGGGCCCUACCCAUCCAGGAGCGUAGAAAGCAUUCCUGCUGCCCGUUAGUGUUUCUUAAACACACGAAUGGGUCAUAAGAUCAAAGCCUGAUGAACCCCGCAAAACUCAUGUCGGGCAAAUGCUGUUUCCCCUAAUGCCAUUAGUGGCUGUGAAAAAGCAUGGGUCGAGCUGACAGAAGGUCCCACCGCUUCAUGCAGGCAGGGGUUCCCGGAAACAAGGCGAAGCCCGGUCACUCACUGUAAGUGAGAAUUCAGAUCACGUACCUUCUUUGGAGUUAUCCUUGACAAAAUAUUCCUUUUUGUAUCGCUGCGAAGAGAAAGAAAUAAAAUUGACCCAGGGCAAGAAA